UACGGAGGGGGUUAGCGUUGUUCGGAAUUACUGGGCGUAAAGCGCGCGUAGGCGGACCAGAAAGUUGGGGGUGAAAUCCCGGGGCUCAACCCCGGAACGGCCUCCAAAACUCCUGGUCUUGAGUUCGUGAGAGGUGAGUGGAAUUCCGAGUGUAGAGGUGAAAUCCGUAGAUAUUCGGAGGAACACCAGUGGCGAAGGCGGCUCACUGGCUCGAUACUGACGCUGAGGUGCGAAAGUGUGGGGAGCAAACGGU
rnacentral:rRNA from 1 species